UAUUCCUCAGUUAAAUGUCAGCCCCAAAAACCACCGUAAAACUAGAACUCUGCGAUGUUCCUUCACCAGGAAGUCCUUGGUGCCUUUGGAAAAGAAAUUCUUAAGGACCCAUUUCGAUGGCGGGGCUCUGGACCAAAAAGGCUACAGUAGGGAUUUAAAUUGUGGUCCCGGCCGUGUUUUUGGUCGCGUUGCGUUUAUCGCGGUUGCGGAGAUAACGGAUGAUAUUGUGGUCAUUGCUCAUAUCGC
rnacentral:lncRNA from 1 species